CACGUAGGCACCAAGCGUUGUCCGGAUUUAUUGGGCGUAAAGAGCCCGUAGGCGGUUGAGUAAGUCGGGUGUGAAAACUCUGGGCUUAACCCAGAGCCGCCACUCGAUACUGCUCUGACUUGAGUUCGGUAGGGGAGCAGGGAAUUCCUAGUGUAGCGGUGAAAUGCGCAGAUAUUAGGAGGAACACCGGUGGCGAAGGCGCUGCUCUGGGCCGAUACUGACGCUGAGGAGCGAAAGCGUGGGGAGCGAACAGG
rnacentral:rRNA from 1 species